AAAUACAAGAAUGGAUGACACAAGCAUCGACGACACUUUMAAGCUUUUGUGUAGCCAUGUAAAACUUGAUAGAGAUCGUGGUGUUUCCUCUUUAGAAAACUUGUUAUCUGAAAAGCAAGACGGGCUGCCUAACCAGGGUGAGCUUGAGUCCUCGCUUACUGCUUUGGUAGAAUCCAGUGACUCCAAAUGGGAGACGAGGUAUGGGGGUCUCCUUGGGGCAAAGUUGGUUGUUUUGACUGGAAAGGCUAGUGAGUCAUUCAUGGAAAUGAUGAAAAAAGGUGCUUUUGUGCUGAUGCAUGAUGACGAGUUUCGAGUUCGCAUCUUGUCAGGUGAAGUUCUUGGUGCCUUGUGUAGUAUAAAAGGACCAUCUGUUUACCUUCACUGUAGAGAUGAAAUAAUGUCAAGUAUUUCAGAUAAUCUUGAAAGAAAUAUACAAGAUGGACCGACUCCUAUUACGGAGGAACUUCAGAAGAAACUUUUAAGUGAAAAAGAAGGCAUAAAGAAAACAGARUCUUCCAGUACACCAGCUGAUGCAGCCAAGAUAUUUCAUGACACAGCUGGCUGGAAGCAUCUAGAGACAAGCAUGAGAUGUCUUCAAUCAUUAAUMCAAGGAUGUGGAGAAGCAUUUAAUGAUCAUGUAACACAAGAACUUCUUGACUUGRUCUUUCAAGCUUUGAACCACACAAACAGAUUUGUUAGGGAGACUGGUWAUCAACUAUGUGGAUCUCUUGUCAGUCUUGGUAGASCAGAAGGAGAUGACUUGUCAAGCAUUAAUAUCAGUAUUGCUCUGGACAAGAAUGCAAUUGUCCAACAUGGUGACCAGUUUGCUGACUAUCUAAAAAAAGGUCUUGCAGAUAAUUGGAGUCAGGUCAGACUUGCAGCUUCAAUGGCCACUAGACAGUUCCUUCAAACUCUACCAGCUCCAACAAGAGAAMAAUUUUAUCCUAAACUUUUACCUGCAAUGUGUUUAAACAGGUAUUAUGUGGCUGAAGGUGUAAGGAUAUACUCUCAGAAAAGCUGGAAAAUGGUUAUGGGCAUGGAAGGCAAACAGCUAGUGGAGAAGUACAUUAAAGAAACAGUAGAGUUUUAUAUUAGUCAGACUAAGGCCRAUAAUCAUGCUGUGCGUGAAGCGGCUUGUGCUUGCAUUGCUGAACUUGGUACAAAGGUGAACCCCGACUGUAACCGUCCAUAUGUUACAUCACUACUGGAUGCCUUGAUAGUGUGUUUUAAGGAUGAUAGCUGGCCUGUGCGCGAUGCUGCCUGUGUUGCAUGUGGGAACUUUAUUCUKUGUUUUCCUGAGGAGUGUAGGACCCACAUGGAAGAGCUAUAUCCGCUGUUCUUUACCAAUCUUGAAGAUAAUAUUCCAUCUGUAAGACAAGGAGCUGCUAUUGCUUUAGCUAAUGUGGUCAAAGCAUAUGGAAAAUCUGAUACRUCAAUUGUAUUUGAGAAACUUAAAUCAGGCUUAAAAGAAGUUGAGAAUCAAAAAGAAACUGCUGAAAAGUAUAGUGGUAUWGAGAAAGGACCUGCCACAUUUGGUGUUGUUAAACGGUUGAGAGAUAAUGACAUGGAGCUGCACACUAACAGACAGAUGUACUCUUGUGGUUCACUGGCUCCUAAAAUGGGAAGAGGAGGUGGAUGUAUGGAUCAUUUAUUUAAACGUGAUCCUGAGCCGUGGGAAAUAACUGAUGGGUGUAUCUGUUUAGUGGUGGAGCUKUCAGAUAACUCUCAAACUCAUCAAGAAGUUGUUGGUUUCCUCCCUUUAGUUUCCAAAGCAGCAGAAUUCAAGCAUUAUUCUCAUCAUCUUUAUUUACUAGAAACAUUGUGUAAACAGUUACCUAUUCUUGCAAAACGACUGGGAAAGAGAUUGUUCAAGCAAUAUUUAGAGUUGUUUAUCGAUGCUAUAUUCUAUAGUGUAGUAAGUACUUUCUUUUCCUGUACAUCCAGUCUUGGAGGACUCAAAGGGAAAGAGUCUCGACUUCAUCACUUAAUUGCUAUUGUUUUGUUGUUGUUUCUUUCUCUAUCAGUAUAUCUGUUCGUUUCUGAGUUCGCUUAUUUUUAUUCGUUUGCCUUUAAUUGUCGCAAUUUUGUAAUCAUCCUCGGAAACCCAAAGAUUCUUAGCUUGUUCCUCGAAAUAAUACCCCUGCGCUCCCGAGAAUGUUUAGCACUAUUUGGUAAAGCUGAUUUUGUUUGCAGACRAGUGAAAACAACUUGACGUCUGGAGCAGCAACAGAGUSCUUGAAUUUCCUKAGGCAGUUCCUUGGCCCAUCAAUAUUGAGAGGUCGUGUAGAGAUGGCUAAUCCCAGGUAA